rnacentral:lncRNA from 1 species
AACUUUACUCCCUAUACAAAAUUUCCAAGAAUAAAACUGAAGUAUGAAGUUCAUCAUUGGGAGUCUCUGUAUAAUGGCUGUGGGUUCCAUUUGAGAUGCAAGUUCAGUUUCCCUGAUUUAGACUCGGAUAAUUCAAAGGUGUCUUUAUAUUCACCUUCCAUUAGAACCCUUGUUAAAGUCAGUAUGCAUUUUCCCAUGAAAUCCUGUGAAGAAGUUGUAAGAAUUGGAAAUGAAUCAAUAUAACAGUCAAGAAAUAAGACACAAAAAUGGUACCCUCCGAAGGUCUCUUUAUAUUCACCUUCCAUUAGAACCCUUGUUAAAGUCAGUAUGCAUUUUCCCAUGAAAUCCUGUACCAACAGAAAAAGUUGAAAAGUUUGGAAAUGAAUCAAUAUAAUGGUCAAGAAAUAAGAUACAACAAUGGUAGUCUCCAAAAUUAAGCCUCCUCGCACCCUUCAAAUCAUAAGGAAAAUAAAGUAAAGGGAAGAGCCCUCAAAAACAUCAUCCUCUCACUAUCGUUCUCUUCGGUUUUCACUGUUUCUUGCUAUUGUUAUUGCUUGUUGCUGCCGCUUUAUUUUAUCUUUUCUAAGCCGAAGGUCUAUUGGAAACAGUCUCUCUACCUUCCCAACGUAGGGGUAAGGUAUGCGUACACACUACCCUCCCCAGACCCCACUUGUGGAAUCCCACCGGGUUUGUUGUUGUUGUUGUUCCUUUGUGAAACAUCUUUUACAGUUAAUAUUUACCGUAACCUUAAAGUUCUAAGAAGUUCACAUGCUAAGGGAGAUAGUACUAACUAAUGACUACUUAUCGAAGCACUGAUCAAAAGUACUCAUGUAAUAAGUUAACUUCGGCUAAAGAAAACAUCACAUCAACAAAAGUUGGUAUCCAAAGAUGUUCAACAAGUGGUUAAUGAUAUUUUGAGCGAGG